AGAUGCUUGCAGCCUUCUGAAGCGAUUUUACUCUGUAUGGGCAGAUGCCUGAAGCUUUCUGAUGUGAUCAUUUAGAAGACUGAUCACCACUUGGAAGGAGCUGUGAUAUCGAGUCUGUUAUUCUGCACUCUGGAAUGGGGCCCUGCGCUUUCAUCCUGGCUCUCUGCCACUCCUCCCUCUGAGGAGACAUCUGCUGAUAAUAGGCUACUGAAUGUCACUGCAUGACUGAUAAGAACUAUAGCAUUCCAUUGUGAGAUGCUCCAUCCAGAGGGAAGAGCCAAGCAUUCAUACCCAGAUAUAGCUUGAGAUUCUGGAACACCAGCACUGCUUUCUCCACUGGAUUUUCCCAGAAGAACAGCUGCUUCUUCCACUGGAUCCUUCUUCAGAGGAAGACUUCACCUUUCUACAGGAUCACUGCUCCAACAGAACCACACCUGACACUCCAGGAGGACUGCAGCAACAAUUCCAAUUGGACUGCUACCAACACCCUGACCAACAGGGUGUCAGGUUGUAUUCUGACUCUGUCAGUGCUGUUUUAGUUUGCUGCAUUGUUUAUUUUAUCUUUUUAUUUU